rnacentral:rRNA from 1 species
UACGUAGGCAGCAAGCGUUGUUCGGAGUUACUGGGCGUAAAGAGUGUGUAGGCGGUUUCGUAAGUUUGGUGUGAAAUCUCCCGGCUUAACUGGGAGGGUGCGCCGAAUACUGCGAGGCUCGAGUGCCGGAGAGGUAAGCGGAAUUCCUGGUGUAGCGGUGAAAUGCGUAGAUAUCAGGAGGAACACCGGUGGUGUAGACGGCUUACUGGACGGCCACUGACGCUGAGACACGAAAGCGUGGGUAGCAAAC